rnacentral:rRNA from 1 species
UACGUAGGGUGCAAGCGUUGUCCGGAAUUAUUGGGCGUAAAGAGCUCGUAGGCGGUCUGUCGCGUCUGCUGUGAAAACUCAGGGCUUAACCCUGAGCUUGCAGUGGGUACGGGCAGACUAGAGUGCGGUAGGGGAGACUGGAAUUCCUGGUGUAGCGGUGAAAUGCGCAGAUAUCAGGAGGAACACCGGUGGCGAAGGCGGGUCUCUGGGCCG